GAGUUUGAUCGUGGCUCAGAACGAACGUUAGCGGCGCGCCUAAGACAUGCAAGUCGAGCGAGAAAGGGCUUCGGCCCCGGUAAAGCGGCGCACGGGUGAGUAACACGUAGGUCAUCAACCCUCGAGUGGUGGAUAACUCUCCGAAAGGAGAGCUAAUACAGCAUGACGUUAGCAAUAACCAAAGCGGGCCUCUUCAUGAAAGCUCGCGCUAGAGGAUGAGCCUGCGGCCCAUCAGGUAGUUGGCGGAGUAACAGCCCACCAAGCCUAAGACGGGUAGCUGGUCUGAGAGGAUGAGCAGCCACACUGGAACUGAGACACGGUCCAGACUCCUACGGGAGGCAGCAGUCGGGAAUCUUCCGCAAUGGGCGAAAGCCUGACGGAGCGACGCCGCGUGAGUGAUGAAGGCCUUCGGUUGUAAG
rnacentral:rRNA from 1 species